rnacentral:rRNA from 1 species
UGGGGAAUUUUGCACAAUGGGGGAAACCCUGAUGCAGCGACGCCGCGUGAUUUAGAAGGCCUUCGGGUUGUAAAAAUCUUUUCUAUGGGAAGAAAAUGACAGUACCAUAGGAAUAAGGACCGGCUAAUUACGUGCCAGCAGCCGCGGUAAUACGUAAGGUCCGAGCGUUGUCCGGAAUCAUUGGGCGUAAAGGGUACGUAGGCGGGUAAGCAAGUUAGAAGUGAAAUCCUAUAGCUCAACUAUAGUAAGCUUUUAAAACUGCUCAUCUUGAGGUAUGGAAGGGAAAGUGGAAUUCCUAGUGUAGCGGUGAAAUGCGCAGCUAUUAGGAGGAAUACCGGUGGCGAAGGCGACUUUCUGGCCAUAACCUGACGCUGAGGUACGAAAGCGUGGGUAGCAAACAGG